UAGGGGAGAGGGAGAGGAAGUAUGGGAGGACACCCAGACUUCUGGCUUGGGUUACCUGGUGGAUUAUCUUGCCAUUUACUGAGCUUAGAACAAGUUUUGAGGUGGGAUGACAUGCCUCCUUUGGGGGCAUGUAGUUGAAACUCCUUAGCAACAGCCUUGAGGUGGUCAUCAAGGCCAUGAAAGUGGGUGAGGUCCCAGAAAGUGAGUCCAUGGAGAAGACAGGGAAGCCAAAACUGAGACUGAAGCAAUGCCACUAUUUUAAAAACUUUUUAUUUUGAAAUACUUACAGAUUCUGUAAAGAUAGUACAGAGAGGUUCCAUGUACCCAGUUUCAAUGCUGCGAUUUUAAAAGGAGGAUUAGGCAAAGCUGACUGCUUAAAGGCAGCUCAGAGAGGCUGGAGAAAAUCCAACAGGGCUUGAUGUCAGGAAAGCAAUUUCACUUAGGAUUUAAUUGGGCUACAAGGGAGAGUGGUUUAAACAAGUGAGAAGAUGAUUUCUUCCUCACCUAAUAGUCUAAAUGUUGGUGUCCAGUUCUGAAAUAGAAGCCCUAUUUCUCUAAACCCUCAGGGACACAGGCUUCUGCCAGUCACUGCGCCAUCUCUGAGGUGUUGCUCUUGUCCUCAUGGUCCAAAAUGGUGACUAGAACACCAGCCAUCACAUCUGCUUUCCAGGUAGCAGAAUGGAAGAAGGGAUGGAGAAUAAAAGGGAGAAUAGGAAUAAGUAAGCAACCUCUUAAGGUGGAUUUCCAGGAACUGUCACAUAGCACAUAAUACUCACUACAGUUCAGUCACAAAACUUAGUUGCAAAAUAGUCUGAGAACUGUAGUCUUUAUUUUUGAACUCAAAAACCAGAGAUCCUGUUACCAAGAAGAAAAGGUGAAUCGAUACAGGGGAGUAACUAGCAGCCUAUGCACAGAAUCCAAUGGUGGUCUGAAAGGAAGGAUAUAGUCACCAUCAUGAAAUAUAGCCAAGAAGUCAAGAGAUGUAGCUACUGAAAUUCCCAUUGGAUUUUGGGACCAAAAAAGUGGCAACUUAAUGGGGAUAAUGAUCAUUGUCGAUCCCAAAGCCCUUCCUCCUAGUACUUUACUUUUCCAAAGUUGGCAUUUGUCAGGUGGAUGGGGCAGAAGGACAGAAGUGAUGGAGCUGAGAAUGGUAGAAAUCCAGAUCACCUACUACAGUAGAAAAAGCAGGAAGUGAAGAUGAGAGAGUGAAAGGGACCUAAUGCAUUGGGGAGAACCGCAAGGGACUGUCAGGAAGACAGGAGUGAGGACAGAGGAAGGUAACAGUCCUCGUGGCUUCCAGGGUGGGGCGCUUCUGGGGCCAAAGUAGGAUCAGGAGUGGGUGGCUGAAGCCAAGAGGAAAAGGAGGUUGUUUCUGGGAGGCGGUUGGUUUACAAAAUUUAGAGAUCAGAUCCAUAUGAGUGCUGAAGUCCCCUAAGAUGCUGGCUGGACGUCAGGUAAAGGUGGAUGCCCAGCUUCCUGGAGAAGACCCGGGCCAACCUCCCCUCCAACUCUUUAAAAUUAUCAUGGUCAUCACGACACUGCCCAAACAGUUGUUCUUGAAGAGUUGUUCAUGGAUUCCUAGGAAAAUGUUCAAACCUGUCACCUUUUCCUCUGAGGUUCUUCAUGAUCACCUGGCAUAGAUUAAGAUGCUGUCAGCAACAGAAACCCCAAGGAACGGACGAUGCCAGUGUGUGGCCCUGAGUACCCUGGAUGAAGCAUUUCUGUGCCUGCACUUCCCAACUCCUAGCGCUUGUGACACGUUAUAGAAAGCUCUGCCUGGCCACUGGAGCUUGUCCUGCCUGUGGUGGGAGCAGCCCUCGACUAGUGACUGAAGGAAUGGGUGAUAAAUGCCCAGGCUUCCUGGCUUUGUGGGUGAGUAACUCUGAAGGGCAUUCAUCUUGGUUCCCAGCAGAAUCAAGCUCUAGUUAUCUCCCCUUCCCUGUCUCCCUCCUCACACCCCUCCAGCACUUUCCAGAUUGCCUCAAAAUAAACAGCUUGCCCUCAAAUCGUCAUCUCAAGAUCUUCUCCUGAGAAAAGCCAAACAACCAGAGUACAGAUGAUAAGUAGCCACUGGGUACCCCACAAGUGGUAGUUCAGUGACUUCCUCCUCUAGGGCCCGGGUUCUCCCCCAUGUCUGCUCUGUGAUCCUCAAGCUGGUGGCAAGAUGGCUACCACCCAGACAUCUUACAGCCCCUCAACAGAUUUCCCUUCAAGUCUUAUUGGCCAGAAUAGGGUCAUGUGACUUAUCCUGAACCAAUCACUGGCAAAGGGGAUAAUGGCUUUACCAAGACUGGCUGAGACCAAUACAGUUAAUAGAGAAGACCUCCUACUUCUGUGAACUUCUUGAAAAGAUGGAGGAGGGGGAAGAGGAAGAGGAGGAAUGGGGAUGGGGUAGUAGAGGGAGAAGAAAAGAAGAUGAAGCAAGAAAAGAAGAAGAGCCCAAAGGUAUAAUGCUUAAAGAACAACGUUACAAGCUCAAAAUUUUUUUGGUUAUGUUGUCCAUAUUAAAACCAAAGCGUAUUUAAAAAAAUAAUAAAAUAAAAAAAAGACUGGCUUAGACUAAUCACCAAGAGACAGAAAGGAUAUUGGGGUCAACUAUAAGGACCAAAGCACAUCCCCUUCUUCCCUUCCAGUCUGAAUCUUCCACCAUAUAUGUGAAAUACUGAAACGAGGGAGCUGGUUGGCUCUGAAUGCCACUCAUUCACUGAUUGCGUUCACUCAACAAGCAUUUAUUGUUUUGCCCUUGCCUUCAAAGAGCCCACAGGCUAGCUGCUGGGGGUGGAGGCGAGGGAGACAAGAAAGGCGCCGAGGGCUGAGUGUGGUGGGGGCUGAGCAGCAGAAGCAUCAUUCAGGGAUAUCCUGAUGCAGCUGUUUUGCCAUCUAGAAUCUCACUCCGCCUGCCCCCAGAAGGGUUAGGUUUAGGGCCCUACUGAGCCACUCUCUUCCAGGAAGCCUUCCCUGAUUUUCAGGCCUCCAGUCUCUACUAUGUCCUGAGCACCCCUUGGACUUUGGAUGGAUCAGGCAGGCCCUGGGCUGACACUGCCUUGGAUGGCUCCGAAGUGCCCUUGUGUCUACUUGUCUUAUCUUCCCCCUUAAGAAUGAGGGCUCCUAGAGGGAGGGGUCGUGUCCCCAUGUCUGACCCAGAGCCUAGGCCAACUGGCCUGAUCCCAUCUCAGCCCCCGUACCUGGCUUGUGGCCUCCUCCCCCUCUCCCUAUCUCUCCCAUCAAUUUCUUAGUUCAUAAAAAUCAAUUUUUGUCCCGUUUUUGCCAUAUACAUAAAAGACUGUGGCAUCAAUUAGCCUUCGUUCUCUCUCUCUCUGUCUCUUUUUUUCUCUUCCUCGUCUUUUUUGGAAACCUCUUUGUAGGGAAAAUCUCAUAUUUCAGCAAUUUGCAUUAUCCACACACCCAGCUUUGAAGUUCUAAGUUAUGGUAAGAAAAGGACCCACUUAUCUGCCCAUAAAAAAUGUUCAAAGCUUAUAAAUUCCCUGAAACAGAUGUACAUUAUCAUUGGAUUUGCCUUUCUUUUUGCUAGAGCAUGCCUAAUAGAGUUUCGGCC
ensembl:lncRNA